rnacentral:rRNA from 1 species
UACAGAGGCCCCGAGCGUUAGACGGAAUCACUGGGCUUAAAGCGUGUGUAGGUGGAUGCCUAAGUACCUUGUGAAAUCCCACGGCUUAACCGUGGAAUUGCUGGGUAUACUGGGUGUCUUGAGCCACUCAGGGGCUACCGGAACAAAUGGUGGAGCGGUGAAAUGCGUAGAUAUCAUUUGGAACGCCAAUGGUGAAAACAGGUAGCUGGGGGUGUGCUGACACUGAGACACGAAAGCCAGGGGAGCAAACGGG